UUCCGGUUGAUCCCGCCGGAGGUUACUGCUAUUGGUGUUCGACUAAGCCAUGCAAGUCAUAUGUUCCUCGUGAACAUGGCAUACUGCUCAGUAACACGUGGAUAACCUGCCCUUGGGUCUGGGAUAACCCCGGGAAACUGGGGAUAAUACCGGAUAACGCAUAUGUGCUGGAAUGCUUUAUGCGUAAAAUGGAUUCGUCCGCCCAAGGAUGGGUCUGCGGCCUAUCAGGUAGUAGUGGGUGUAAUGUACCUACUAGCCAACAACGGGUACGGGUUGUGGGAGCAAGAGCCCGGAGUUGGAUUCUGAGACACGAAUCCAGGCCCUACGGGGCGCAGCAGGCGCGAAAACUUUACAAUGCGGGCAACCGUGAUAAGGGAACCUCGAGUGCCUGUAAAUGCAGGCUGUUCAGGUGCCUAAAACACACCUGAAGAAAGGGCCGGGCAAGACCGGUGCCAGCCGCCGCGGUAAUACCGGCGGCUCGAGUGGUGGCCGCUUUUAUUGGGCUUAAAGCGUUCGUAGCUGGGUUGUUAAGUCUCUUGGGAAAUCUGGCGGCUUAACCGUCAGGCGUCUAAGGGAUACUGGCAAUCUUGGAACCGGGAGAGGUAAGAGGUACUACAGGGGUAGGAGUGAAAUCUUGUAAUCCCUGUGAGACCACCUGUGGCGAAGGCGUCUUACCAGAACGGGUUCGACGGUGAGGGACGAAAGCUGGGGGCACGAACCGGAUUAGAUACCCGGGUAGUCCCAGCCGUAAACUAUGCUCGCUAGGUGUCAGGCAUGGCGCGACCGUGUCUGGUGCCGCAGGGAAACCGUGAAACGUGCCGCCUGGGAAGUACGGUCGCAAGGCUGAAACUUAAAGGAAUUGGCGGGGGAGCACCACAACAGGUGGAGCCUGCGGUUUAAUUGGACUCAACGCCGGGAAGCUCACCGGAUAAGACAGCAGAAUGAUUGCCGGGCUGAAGACUCUGCAUGACUAGCUGAGAGGAGGUGCAUGGCC
rnacentral:rRNA from 1 species